ensembl:lncRNA
GGGGGUUUUGGGGUCCCUGAGUCCCCUUUGGGGUGGGUUUUGGGGUCCCUGAGUCCCCUUCGGGCUGAGUUUUGGGGCCCCCUGGUCCCAUUCUGAUGGGUUUUGGGGUCCCCCGGUCUCUCUGUGUUGGGUUUUGGGGACUUCGGGGUCCACUUUGGGGUGGGUUUUGGGAUCCCUGGGUCCCAUUUUGGUGGGUUUUGGGGUCUCCUGAUCUUCCGUGAUAGGUAUUGAGGACCCUGGGGUGGAUUUUGGGGGUCCCAGGGUCACCUUCCUGGUAGUUUUUGGGGGUCUCAGGGGCUGGAGGCAUCCACUUGGUGCUCAGUUUCGGUGUCCCUGGGUCCCAUUUUGGUGAGUUUUGGGGUCCCCUGGUCUUCCAUAAUAGGUUAGGGGGAUUUGGGGGUCCCAUUAGGGGUGGAUUUUGGGGUUCCUGGGUCCCGUUUGGUGGGUUUUGGGGAGCACGAGGUCCUGAGGUCCCUUUGCCAUUCGUUCUUAGGAUCUGGGGUCCUCUUCUCUGUGGGAUUAUAGACUACAGGAUCCUCUUUUCUGUGGAUUUAGGGGCUCUGGGUUCCCCUUUCUUAUGGGAUUUCUUGUUUCAUGGGUUAUGGGUCUUCUUGUCUCUGGGAUUAUUGUCUACAGGAUUUUCUUCCCUAUGGGAUUAUUGUCUACAGGAUGCUCUUUCGUGUAGAAUUAUAGGCUAUAGAACCUUUUUCCCUAUGGGAUUAUGAGCUCUGGGAUCCCUUUUCUUAUGGGAUUUGGAGCUCUAUGGCUUUUGGGGCUCUGGGGUUCUCUUUUAUGGGAUUAUAAACUACAGGACCGUCUUCCCUUUGGGAUUAUAGACUAUAUAACCUUCUUUUCUAUGGGAUUAUAGGCUGCAGGAUUUUCUUCUUUACGGGAUUACAGGCCUUGGGCUCCCUUUUUUAUGGGAUUUGGAACUUUAUGGGUCUGGGGGAUCUGUGGUCCUUUUCCCUAUGGGAUUAUGGGCUCUGGGAUCCUCUUCCCUGUGGGAUUAUGGGCUCUGGGAUCCUCUUCCCUGUGGGAUUAUGGGCUCUGGGAUCCUCUUCUCUGUGGAUUUAUGGGCUCUGGGUUCCCCUUUCA